rnacentral:misc_RNA from 1 species
GGCGGACCAAGGUGGAAGGAGAGCAUCACCACAGGGAUCAUCUCCGACCCAAGAAUACACGACUCUCCAGCCGAGAGAGGCCUUGAUUUCAUUCAAAGCUUUGACAUCGCGUUUCAAGGUUUUGGAGAGAACGGAUUGUUGAGGAAGAGCGAAAAGGAAGAGGAUGAGGGAGAACGGUAUGAAUGGAAAUUGGUGCCGCAUUUUGAUUCCCA